CUGGGAUUUUGUCUUUUAAGAGCAGCCUGGUCCUGUCUGCUGCAGAGCCUUUUGUCUCGCUAACCUGGAUCCUGACGGGCGCGACAAAAGGUUCUGCGGCUGCGCUGGGGAGACCUCGGCCCUGAGCACUGGCACAGUGCCUGAGGAGGCCUUUACCAGGGCUCUGGGGUUUGGGGGGGUUCCUUCUGACGUGUUUUCUAAGUUCCUUCUGUCCUGAACAAUGAAUUGGUCGGGACAAGCUCAGAAGACAGCUAGGCUCUACAUCCAUUCAAGGCAGGAAAAUAAACUUGCUGCACAGGGUGAGGACAGACCACUGGGAAAGAGAGCCUCUCUCUGGCUGGUGUCAGGUCGAGGCCUAUCAGAAACCUGCUCAAGUUCUCGCGAGAAGACUUGAAGCGAGCGCUCUGAUUGGCCCCAGGCGUGGGGCUUUGGGAACCGUUUUGCCACCGUUCCUGAAGUUUCUGUUGAACCGUCCCACCCACUUUUCCCGCGGCUUCGUCGCACCUUAAUCUCUUGCCUCAGACUCGCUCUGGGUCUGUGGCUUCUGGGAGCCCGCUGAGGGGUCUGGGCGGCGCUCUCACCUGUCCAGCACAGGUUCGUCCUGCCCAGUGCUCACAGCCCCAAACCUGAGCCCGUUCAGCAGGCUCCUCCGCUUCCACCCGAUGGACGGAGCUCUUCGCUGCUUCCGGUUCUCCCGGCACCGUUAGUAGACAUCAGAAGAGAGAAGACUACAAGUGUAGGUUGGGCCGCUUGUAAAGGCCAGGCAGCCAAGGCAAAAUGACAUCCUCCCGGGCAAGGUCGUCACUCUGAGGAGAGUCAUUGUCCCCACCUCCGUCGCACGUUGGAAGCAGAGGCAGCCCAGAGUCCGAGCCGGGGGUUUCUGAGUCGCCUCAAGCUCUGCCCCACGAGGACAGGAAACCUUUGCCAGGACCUCACCUUACAGGAAGAACCUGGUAUCUAACUCCAGAAGGAGAGGUGAACAACCCAGAACUCCGUAACGUUAAAGUUGAGAAGCCACUUUUAGACAUAGGCUACGUAACAUUUUGGCAUAGCCAGCCUGGAGGAAAGCUCAGGUACAAGAGACAAAGGCUGGAGAUACAGCAGACUGUUCUCAAGGUGUGCAGGGAGCUGUUUGCUACUUUUCUAGCCAUGGGGAAUGAAGGAAGGGAAUGUACACUUUUGUCUUUCUAGCUGCUGCUGUUCACUCUGUAGGUCCCAAGACAAGCAGAUGGGAGAUCUAUUGGAUCUCACCACCAACAGAUUGACAUUGACCCUAGGCCACACUCUCAAUGAGUGGGAAAGUUUUGAUGAUCCUGACAAUCUAAAACAG
rnacentral:lncRNA from 1 species